rnacentral:lncRNA from 1 species
CCCAGGAUCCCAGAAUUGGCUGCUGCUCUCUUGCCCUCCUUUCCAGCUAUAGGAAAAUCCCUCUCAGGAAAGGCCUUUCUCCUCCUUCCAUCUUUCCAGUUUCUUUGCCAGCAAACUCUGCUCACUUUCUGGGAUCCAGGCUUUGGGCAACUAAUGGUAGUAAGAAGAAAUAUCCUUCGGGUGAUGCCUGUAUCCCCUGUCACUUAAGGAUAAGCCCAAAGUGGAUUAACUAAUGCCUCAAAAUACUUAUCCAGACACUGAAACAAAAGAAGCCAGUUUCUAAAUCAUAGGCAGUUUUUAAUCAGCCAUGAAGAGGACACUUGAUCAAGCAGAGCCGGCAGAGGAAAAACAGAGGCUGAACUGGGGGAGGCUGCCAUGGAGGAGAUGAUCAGCAAAACUAGACCAUUCAACUGCCGUGAAUGAGAAUAACUGCCGUCCUCACAUUUAUCUCACCCUCUCUCCUUCCUUUGGGGGCUUGCUUUCAAUGUGAGCAAACUUCCAAAGUCAAGAAAUUGUCAACUAUGUACCCACCUGGCCAAAGGAGACAACAGCUCAAUCUGAAGCCAUCUUAGCAGGACAGCCCUUAUUAAAUUCAUAGGUUCUUGCUAAACAGUGCCAAUUGUACUGUGCCUACAUUUUCAUCCACUGUGACUGAAGAAGGCUCACACAAAGCCUCUGAUACAAAUACCUUAAACUAUCCCAAACCAAAGUUAGGCAAACAACACUUCCUUAUUUCUACACUGCUUCAAUUGCCUCAUGCAUUAAAUUCUCUCCAACAUGAUGUAAGUAGAUAAUGAAAAUUUUAAGGUUAUAUUUUAAUUUUAUUGAUGUGAG